UACGUAGGGAGCAAGCGUUGUCCGGAAUCAUUGGGCGUAAAGAGCUCGUAGGUGGCUGAGUAAGUCGGGUGUUAAAUCCCCAGGCUCAACCUGGGACACCACCCGAUACUGCUCUGGCUAGAGUCCGGUAGGGGAGCGUGGAAUUCCUGGUGUAGCGGUGAAAUGCGCAGAUAUCAGGAGGAACACCAGCGGCGAAGGCGGCGCUCUGGGCCGGUACUGACACUGAGGAGCGAAAGCGUGGGUAGCAAACAGG
rnacentral:rRNA from 1 species